UGUCAGGGGCCAUGGAGUGCCGGCAGGCGAACCCCGCCAGGUCCGGAAGGAAGCAACGGUAGUUUGUCCGGCACUGCCGUGGUUCUCUGACAGCG
rnacentral:SRP_RNA from 1 species